rnacentral:lncRNA from 1 species
AGUAACCUGCUUGAGUAGUAUUACGUGCUGUGGAAGUUUUGUUCUUUUGCUUUUCGCAGUAAAUUUUGCUGGUGGUCGCUCUUUGGGUCCACGCUUCUUUUAUGAGUUAUAACCCAUACUGUGAAGGUCUGCAGCUUCAUUCCUGAAGCCAGCGAGACUAAGAACCCACCGCGAGAAACGAAGAGCUCCAGAUGCCCCCUUAAGAGCUGUAACAUUCACCGGGAAAGUCAGCCAGCGAGACCACGAACCCCACCAAAAGGAAGAAACUGAACACAUCCCAGCAUCAGAAAGAAUAAGUUCUGGACACACUGCCUUUUAAGAACUGUAACACUCACCGCGAGGUUCCGCGGCUUCAUUCUUUAAGUCCGUGAGAUGAAGAACCCAUCAAUUCCAGACACAGUAGAACAUAGCGAAAACAUUGGAAUGUUGCUUCUGAGAUGAGGCUGCAAUGUCAUGAGACUAUGACAGCUGUCAUGCGCUUUCUCCCACUCCGUGGGAAGCACGUUGCCAUGUUAUGGGGUAGCGUUGUGGGGAGACCCCCCAUGGCAAGGCACUGAUCUCUGGCUAAUAGCUAUUGAAGACUUGAACUCCAGUAACAGCCCUGUGAGUGGGCAUGAAAGCGGAUCUUUGGAGAGACCCCCAACUAAACCACACCCAAAUUCCUGCCCCAGAGGAAAAAAACUGUGAGCCUUUGGAAUGAGUACACAUCCAGGAGUGAAGAAGACAAGCUCAACUGCCAUUCUCUGAGCAGUUCAAGGCAUACUGAGUUGCGGGAGUUGUGUGGUGGUCCACUCUGACUGCAAGCACCCCUUUCUUGAACCGAACAGAGUCAAGUGGAAUCAAAGGACAUUACCUGUUGAUUCUUGGGCAAGGCCCAGAAUUUGGUGGACAUACUUAAAGAAGAAAGGAAUCUUCAGCUAAAGUGUCUACGAUCAAUUCAGAUUUGGAGGGCAUGGAUCUUCUGACAGUAGGGGCCAUUCUAGGAUUUUUUGGUUGAAGAGAUGAACUUCAACUUGGUUCCAGAUGGGUGGUCCAGCUAUUCUGCUGACAACAUUUUUCAGGGCAAGGCUUUUGCUACUGGAAUGAUUUAAGGAAGAUCCCUCAGUGUUUCAGAGUAAAGAUAUUUCUAAAGAAGUACCUGUGUCAUUGCCCAUCUUGAAGAUUGACUUUUAUGGAUUGCUCAAAUACUGAUAUCAGCUCAAUGUCAAUAUAUACUCCUACAUAUAAAAUCCAUCUUCUAAUCAUAAUCACUAGGUAAGAUGCUAGUGCAAGUUGAAGUUCUUAAAGGAGAUGACCUGAACAGCCUUCUUAGUGUACCAGGGAGACCAGAUUGAGUUUAAACUAUGUUUACCCUGCACUCAGACACGCCUAGGUGUGUCUGGGAGAUUAGUAGAUGGUGUUCAACAAGGAUCUAUUUAAACAAGGGAGACAUUAAUUUGGAUUCCUUUGGUUGUAAAUUUCCAAAAAAAAAAAAAAGGUCUAAGUUAAAAUGUUUAAGGAGGAUGGGGGAAGAAUGUGAUGACUGUUAUAGUUAAUGUGAGCUUUAGGCUUGGCCGGAUCCAGGUACUAAAACAAUGUUAUUAGAUAAUAAAUCUAAUUAAAUAUAA